rnacentral:rRNA from 1 species
CGGAUCGUAAAGCUCUGUUGUUAGGGAAGAACAAGUGCGAGAGUAACUGCUCGCACCAUGACGGUACCUAACCAGAAAGCCACGGCUAACUACGUGCCAGCAGCCGCGGUAAUACGUAGGUGGCAAGCGUUGUCCGGAAUUAUUGGGCGUAAAGGGCUCGCAGGCGGUUUCUUAAGUCUGAUGUGAAAGCCCCCGGCUCAACCGGGGAGGGUCAUUGGAAACUGGGAAACUUGAGUGCAGAAGAGGAGAGUGGAAUUCCACGUGUAGCGGUGAAAUGCGUAGAGAUGUGGAGGAACACCA